CCUGUGAAGACUUUUAACACAACAUCAGCACACUAAAACACAACCUGAAGCAAAAUGAUUCUCUUUAUAUGGGCACUUUGCUUCAUCCAAGGUGUUUUGGGUCAGGUUAUUGUGACUCAACCUGAAGUUAAAUCUGCUCAGAUUGGUCAGAGCAUCUCUAUUGACUGUAAGGUCAACACUGUAGUUUAUAGGUAUCCAGAGGGCUCAAUAUCUAAAGAUUAUUACAUCUUCUGGUACCUUCAGAAGGCAGAGGGUCCUCCUAAACUCCUGAUAUAUUACACAACAAUGAAGCAAUCAAGUACUCCAUCCAGAAUGAGUGGUGGAGGAAGUUUUCAUUCUGGAGGAAAUGGACUUGAUUUUACUCUAAACAACAAUAAUGUCCAGCUUGAAGAUGCAGGAGUUUAUUACUGUAUGAGUGUUCAUAAGAUCAGUAGCAAGUAUGUGUUCACACAGUGAAAAAGUGCCAUACAAAAACCUCACUUGGUCAGACUGAGAAUCUGAUGAACCGAGACUGCAGGUGCUGAAAGGAGAACAAAAAUAAAGUCAGCACAUAUGUGCAUGAAAUAUAUUAAACAUAAAACACUUAA